UACGUAGGGUGCAAGCGUUGUCCGGAAUUAUUGGGCGUAAAGAGCUCGUAGGCGGCCUGUCGCGUCGGCUGUGAAAACCCGAGGCUCAACCUCGGGCCUGCAGUCGAUACGGGCAGGCUAGAGUUCGGUAGGGGAGACUGGAAUUCCUGGUGUAGCGGUGAAAUGCGCAGAUAUCAGGAGGAACACCGGUGGUCGAAGGCGGGUCUCUGGGCAACAACUGACGCUGAGGAGCGAAAGUGUGGGGAGCGAACAGG
rnacentral:rRNA from 1 species